GCAGCAAAUCGAAGUUUUAAUGUCUUCUUCAGUGUAUCGUUGCUCCAUUUCAUCCCUUUUGUGGAGCUGUGAAUCUGUGGUUAGUGGUUCCCUGUUGUGCUGACUGACUGACGUGGGCUCUCCCUGUCUCUCCUCAUCUGCCAUGUUGGUUCUUUCUACUGUCUCACUUUCCCUUCUCUCAGUCUCCUCAGUCUUGGAAACUGUUUAGCUGUGAUCAGCAGCUAUGGACCAUGCAUUUGCAGGUGAAAGAGGGCAUCGUGGAGUUCGG